UACGUAGGGUGCAAGCGUUAAUCGGAAUUACUGGGCGUAAAGCGUGCGCAGGCGGUGAUGUAAGACAGAUGUGAAAUCCCCGGGCUCAACCUGGGAACUGCAUUUGUGACUGCAUCGCUGGAGUGCGGCAGAGGGGGAUGGAAUUCCGCGUGUAGCAGUGAAAUGCGUAGAUAUGCGGAGGAACACCGAUGGCGAAGGCAAUCCCCUGGGCCUGCACUGACGUUCAUGCACGAAAGCGUGGGGAGCAAACAGG
rnacentral:rRNA from 1 species